rnacentral:rRNA from 1 species
AGAGUUUGAUUCUGGCUCAGGAUGAACGCUAGCUACAGGCUUAACACAUGCAAGCGAGGGGCAGCAUGGAGUCAGCUUGCUGACUUUGAUGGCGACCGGCGCACGGGUGCGUAACACGUAUCCAAUCCGCCCGUUACUCGGGGAUAGCCUUUCGAAAGAAAGAUUAAUACCCCGAUGGCUUCACACCGCCGCAUGGCGUUGUGAAUAAAGAUUCAUCGGUAACGGAUGAGGAUGCGUCCGAUUAGGUAGUAGGCGGGGUAACGGCCCACCUAGCCGACGAUCGGUAGGGGCUCUGAGAGGAGGAUCCCCCACAUUGGAACUGAGACACGGUCCAAACUCCUACGGGAGGCAGCAGUGAGGAAUAUUGGUCAAUGGGCGAGAGCCUGAACCAGCCAAGUAAGCGUGAGGGACGACUGCCCUAUGGGUUGUAAACCUCUUUUGUUUGGGAAUAAAGCGGGCCACGCGUGGCCUUUUGUAUGUACCUUACGAAUAAGCAUCGGCUAAUUCCGUGCCAGCCGCGGC